AGGACGAACGCUGGCGGCGCGCUUAACACAUGCAAGUCGAACGUGAAGCUGGAGCUUGCUCCGGUGGAAAGUGGCGAACGGGUGCGUAACACGUGAGCAACCUGCCCCGAAGACUGGGAUAACACCGGGAAACCGGUGCUAAUACCGGAUACCUUCUUCCGAUCGCAUGGUCGGCUGAAGAAAUGGAUUCCGCUUCGGGAUGGGCUCGCGGCCUAUCAGCUUGUUGGUGAGGUAACGGCCCACCAAGGCGACGACGGGUAGCUGGUCUGAGAGGACGACCAGCCACACUGGGACUGAGACACGGCCCAGACUCCUACGGGAGGCAGCAGUGGGGAAUCUUGCUCAAUGGGCGAAAGCCUGAAGCAGCGACGCCGCGUGCGGGAUGAAGGCCCUCGGGUUGUAAACCGCUUUCAGCAGGGACGAAAUUGACGGUACCUGCAGAAGAAGGCCCGGCCAACUACGUGCCAGCAGCCGC
rnacentral:rRNA from 1 species